ncrna:unclassified sequences RT-17 RNA
AGCCACACCCAAUAGGUGAAAAAUCAACUUUUGAUGUAGUGUUGGUAAUCGUGCAUUUGGCACGGCUGAAGACAGAGAAAAAGUAAAAGCAGACAA